AUUGAACGCUGGCGGCAGGCCUAACACAUGCAAGUCGAACGAGUGGCGGACGGGUGAGUAAUGUCUGGGAAACUGCCUGAUGGAGGGGGAUAACUACUGGAAACGGUAGCUAAUACCGCAUACCAUCAGAUGUGCCCAGAUGGGAUUUGCUAGUUGGUGGGGUAACGGAUCACCAAGGCGACGAGCACUAGCUGGUCUGAGAGGAUGACCGGCCACACUGGAACUGAGACACGGUCCAGCCUCCUACGUGAGGCAGCAUUGGUGAAUAUUUCACAAUGGGCUAAAGCCUGAUGCAGCCAUGCCGCGUGUAUGAAGAAGUCCUUCGGUUUGUAAAUUACUUUCAGCGGUGAGGCGUGACCUGCAGAAGAAGCACCGGCUAACUCCGUGCCAGCAGCCGCGUUAAUAC
rnacentral:rRNA from 1 species